UCCUCCAGCUGCUGAUUCAAAGGCAAGCAUUUCUUUUCCCUCUCCCUUGUAGUGUUUAUGACUCCAUGUUUAAACGCCUGUGAACCUGUACUUAGUUUAUUAAUAUUUAAUUGGAUCAGAAUAUUUGUUGGAGGAGCAUAUUGUUUCUUCUUGUACAGUCAGUGUUCUUAUUUUUGUGUUAGCAAAUUAGGGCUAUCUGAAAAUUGUAAUCAUGUUUGUGAUUAAUUUUGCUCUUUCUAACUGUGGAACUCUUUUAUUGGUUCCUAAUGUG
rnacentral:misc_RNA from 1 species